rfam:Schistosoma haematobium scaffold87_42, whole genome shotgun sequence.
AUCCAGCUGACGAGCCCCAACUGGGACGAAACAUGAGUCCUGGAU